GUAGUAUUCCCUCCAUCCCAAAAUUCUUGUCUUACAUUUGUUUAGAUACGGAUGUAUCUAACACUAAAAUGUAACUAGAUACAUCCGUAUUUAGACAAAUUUAGGACAAGAAUUUUGGGAUGGAGGGAGUACAAA
rnacentral:pre_miRNA from 1 species